AUAGUACAUUAUUGCAGAGGCCGGGAAAGGGCAAUUCGUGGAUGAGUUUCGAUUUUACGAAUCCACGAAUUGCUAUUCCUGCCGAGGCAUAUAUAGUGCUUUUCUCCAAACAUGCGAGGAAAUAAGGUAAAAUAAUUAUUUAAGCAUGAAGCAUCACUCAAAUCGAACCUUCACAUCAAAAUGUCAAGUCAAAAACUAUUUCCCUCUUUAAUACAUUUUUAAAAGUUAAAGGCACAAACUUAUUCUGCCAUUCAGUACCAUUCAAUAUUCGUUCAUUCAAUAUAAUUGUGCAAUAUAGUUGGUCAAACUAAUUUGUCAGUCAGUAAGAACCAGGAAAACUAUACCCAUCCUUUUCUUUUGGGUGCUAGUACUAGUGUAAGACAAAGAUAGUAUGAUUCUCUUUGUCUAUGAUUGAAAUGAGAAAGUCCUUUGACAAACUAUAUAAGCUUUAUGAACACCGAUGAGAU